AGAGUUUGAUCCUGGCUCAGGACGAACGCUGGCGGCGUGCCUAAUACAUGCAAGUCGAGCGGACUGAUUCAGAGCUUGCUCUGAGGAUGUCAGCGGCGGACGGGUGAGUAACACGUGGGUAACCUGCCUGGCAGACUGGGAUAACGCUUGGAAACGAGUGCUAAUACCGGAUGAUCUCUUGGACUGCAUGGUCUGAGAGUAAAAGGAGCUUUUGCUUCACUGCCAGAUGGACCCGCGGCGCAUUAGCUAGUUGGUGAGGUAAUGGCUCACCAAGGCGACGAUGCGUAGCCGACCUGAGAGGGUGACCGGCCACACUGGGACUGAGACACGGCCCAGACUCCUACGGGAGGCAGCAGUAGGGAAUCUUCCGCAAUGGGCGCAAGCCUGACGGAGCAACGCCGCGUGAGUGAUGAAGGCCUUCGGGUUGUAAAACUCUGUCUUCUGUGAAGAACCAUCCUGUGCAGAGAAAGCUCAG
rnacentral:rRNA from 1 species